ensembl:rRNA 5S_rRNA 5S ribosomal RNA
GUCUAUAGCCAUACCACCCUGAAUGCACCCCAUCUCAUCUGAUCUCGGAAGCUAAGCAGGGUCGGGCCUGGUUAGUACUUGGAUGGGAGAAAAAAAAGGUUGACU